AAGCUUUCAUCUUCUCCCUUGUAACCCAUCAUCUACUGCAUUACAAUCCCAGGCUUUCAAUGUGCCCAGAACGGUUUAGCUGGAGUGCGCUUCAGUGCCUUCACUGCCAAAGGAUUGCCCUUGCUCUGCCAAAAAAACAACUGUUUAAAACUUCAAUUGAAACAAAUAGAAUGAAAGGAUUGAUGACUUUGGACUUAAGCGUACCAUCAAGCAGGUGCCUUCAUGUAUGUUGCAGACAGGGUAGUCAUGAGGGCAGCAGCUGUAGCGAUCUUCGCAGCAAGUGGCAGCCUCGAGUGGGCAGCAUCCCCAAGCAAAGCAGUAGUUAUAGUACUCGUAUAUGCAGCAGCAGGUAUUGCUCUCGGGACAGGAAUAAUAACUAUCGCACACGGUCGGAGGCUUUAUAGGAGAUGGUGGAGACGGUCCGGGAUUGGGGGGAUUUUCACCUGUUUUGAUCGGAUAAGAGGCUUCCAUCGCGAUCCCACAUUUGCCAGUUACGGUAUUGGCCACAUUCCUUGCCAUCCUGAUAUAGCCUGCUUCUCCCCAGCUGCUUCCCCAUGAGUUCUUUACAAUCCAAUAGUCUUUACCUUUCUCUGUGCCAUAUCCAACAGCAGUGACACCGUGGUCUAGUUGUGUUCCACAUUUUCCAUCAAAUAUACCCUGGAAAAAAUCAUAAAAAUGUCAUUUAUCGGACAGUGCUCGGACUUUGAUAAGCCAGUUGUGUUCUUGCAGAAACUAGUAAUUUUGAUGGAUGCAGAAUCUUACUGAUUGAUAUAACUGGAAACUCCUUCCUCCUGCCUCAAUGGCAACGCUCACCGGUUGAUUCGCGACUGCCUUUUUCAAUGCUUUCUCGUCAUUUACCGGAACAUCCUCAUAAUCAUUGAUCGAAACAGCUUUAGCAUUUUUCUGCAAGGUGAUUAAAAACACCAAGAUUCAGCAAGGAAAUUGAAAUUCUAUCUUUGUUCCUUUCCCAACUCUAAAAAAAAUAUGAAACCUACCCGGUAAGGGUCACAUGUACCGUCACGAGCGGUGUAAGGGUAAUCUUCUUCGGUGUCAAUGCCACCAUUUUUGAUGAUGAAUUCAAAGGCAUAAUCCAUGAGACCCCCAUUGCAACCUUCAUUGUAAGAUGUAUCACAAUCCACCAACUCCUGCUCAGAUAGUGAAAGGAGUUCGCCUGUAACAAUCUGGUUUAUCCCUUCCACAGCAGCAAUAGUCGAGAAAGCCCAGCAACUCCCUGUAUUUAACAUUAAAUUCUCAGUAAAAUCAUCUUAUUACAAACAUGUAAUAACUAUUUAAUAUAUUAUAUAAAAACAUUGGAAUCUAUCAAUUCAUUAAGCUGUCUAUAUCUUAUAUGGUUCAACUUUUACAGUGGAGUAAGCCCCUGAACUUUCGUGCAAGGAACCUUACUCCUUACCCCACAGAAAGCAGCCACCUCAAGCACUAACACUUCCACUAACUGCAGGGCUGCGGAAGCAUCCUUAUAUCCGACACAAUACUACUAUAGGUCAUAGUUCAUGGGUCGGGUCUAACUUUCCGCGAACCGUUGCAUCUGUUCAAAAUGCUCCCACUCUAUAAAUCCAUCAAAAUUUCGGACAAAAUCGGAUGAUAAAACUGUACUUCUGAAGUCGACAAAUAUAUUUAUAUAUUUAUAUAUUUUAACCUAAUUAACUCAAAAAAUAAGUAAAUUAAUCUAUAUAUAUUAAAUCAAAAAAUAAAUCAAUCUUUUUUUGUUAAAUAUUUUAUCCUAUUAAAAACUAAUACCACUGAACGAAUAAUAAUACAGUGAGUCACUUAUUAGACCGAAAUCAAUUUUUAACUUAUGAGACCGAAAUCAAUUUUUAAGUUACUUACUUUUACCUUAUAUAAGAAACCUACAUAUAUCCAAUACUCCACCUCAAAAUCUGAAUAACCAAACAGAACCCACAAAGCAAAGGUUUCUAAGAUAAGGACAGAUACAGGAACCUUCCCUGAAACAUCGGAACUAAGUUAUUUGUUUAAUUUUUUUUUUGUUCUUUCUCUCCAGGUUUUACAGUUGGCUCAAAAUAAUUACAGUCUAUCUGGCGGCAGAAGACAUGGAUAGAUUCAUUUGACAGAAACAAAACAAAAUCAUCUGAAAGUAUAAGUUAAAAUGCUAGUUUUCAGACAGACAAGAGAAGCAUCCAUAAAAGAAAAUUGAGAGAGAAACUUACCGCAACUUCCUUGAUCUUUGACUUCAGCGACAGCCCCUUUUUCCCUCCAAUCAACGGAAUCGGGCAACUUUUGGCCGAGAAGCGGGGCGUAUCGGUCACUGGCCUUGGAAACUUUCCGGUUGGGUUUCUUGAUUCCCAAGUAGAUGGCUCGGUACUCCUCGUUGGUAAGAUCAGCAAAGCGGUUCAAACCAACCUUAAAACUGUGACUCUCAUCGGCGUUAUGUUCAUCGAUGAACCUAAGGUUAUCCUUAAAAAUCUGGAGCCUCCUCUCUUUCUCACCCAAACCGUUGUAUGUUUUUCCAUGCUUUACAAGCCACUCCUCG
rnacentral:lncRNA from 1 species